AUCAAAGAUGAGGGAGACAUGGCCCCUGCCA
rnacentral:piRNA from 1 species